rnacentral:rRNA from 1 species
UACGUAGGGGGCAAGCGUCGUCCGGAAUCAUUGGGCGUAAAGCGCGCGUAGGCGGCCCGGUAAGUCCGCUGUGAAAGUCCAGGGCUCAACCCUGGAAAGCCGGUGGAUACUGCCGGGCUAGAGUCCGGAAGAGGCGAGUGGAAUUCCUGGUGUAGCGGUGAAAUGCGCAGAUAUCAGGAAGAACACCAAUGGCGAAGGCAGCUCUCUGGGACGGUACUGACGCUGAGACGCGAAAGCGUGGGGAGCGAACAGG